GUGUUUGCUUAGGCAGCACACAUAAUAAAAAUGAGAACAAUAUAGAGAAUAUUAGCAUGGUCCCUGUGCAAAUUCAGGAAGAGCUCCAUAUUUUU
rnacentral:snRNA from 1 species